rnacentral:rRNA from 1 species
AUCCCCUUCGGGGGUGACGCUUGUGGAAUGAGCGGCGGACGGGUGAGUAACACGUGGGCAACCUGCCUGUAAGACUGGGAUAACCCCGGGAAACCGGGGCUAAUACCGGAUAAUACUUUCUUUUGCAUAAAGGAAAGUUGAAAGGCGGCUUCGGCUGUCACUUACAGAUGGGCCCGCGGCGCAUUAGCUAGUUGGUGAGGUAACGGCUCACCAAGGCGACGAUGCGUAGCCGACCUGAGAGGGUGAUCGGCCACACUGGGACUGAGACACGGCCCAGACUCCUACGGGAGGCAGCAGUAGGGAAUCUUCCGCAAUGGACGAAAGUCUGACGGAGCAACGCCGCGUGAGUGAUGAAGGUUUUCGGAUCGUAAAACUCUGUUGUUAGGGAAGAACAAGUUGGGUAGUAACUGACCCAACCUUGACGGUACCUAACCAGAAAGCCACGGCUAACUACGUGCCAGCAGCCGCGGUAAUACGUAGGUGGCAAGCGUUGUCCGGAAUUAUUGGGCGUAAAGCGCUCGCAGGCGGUCCUUUAAGUCUGAUGUGAAAUCUCGCGGCUCAACCGCGAACGGUCAUUGGAAACUGGAGGACUUGAGUACAGAAGAGGAGAGUGGAAUUCCACGUGUAGCGGUGAAAUGCGUAGAGAUGUGGAGGAACACCAGUGGCGAAGGCGACUCUCUGGUCUGUAACUGACGCUGAGGAGCGAAAGCGUGGGGAGCGAACAGGAUUAGAUACCCUGGUAGUCCACGCCGUAAACGAUGAGUGCUAGGUGUUAGGGGGUUUCCGCCCCCUACCGCUG